rnacentral:rRNA from 1 species
CCUACGGGUGGCUGCAGUGAGGAAUAUUGGUCAAUGGACGAGAGUCUGAACCAGCCAAGUAGCGUGAAGGAUGACUGCCCUAUGUGUGGUAAGCUUCAUUUAUAAAGGAAUAAAACGAGGCACGUGUGCCUUUUUGCAUGUCCUUUAUCAAUAAGGCACGGCUAACUCCGUGCCAGCAGCCGCGGUAAUACGGAGGAUCCGAGCGUUAUCCGGAUGUAUUGGGUUGAAAGGGAGCGUAGAUGGGUGGUUAAGCCAGUUGUGAAAGUUUGCGGCUAAACCGCAAAAUUGCAAUUGAUACUGGGAGGCUUGAGUACAGUUGAGGUAGGCGGAAUUCGUGGUGUAGCGGUGAAAUGCGUAGAUAUCACGAAGAACCCCGAUUGCGAAGGCAGCUUACUAAACUGUGACUGACAUUGAUGCUCGAAAGUGUGGGUAUCAAACAGGAUUAGAUACCCGAGUAGUC